GACGAACGCUGGCGGCGUGCUUAACACAUGCAAGUCGAACGGAGUGGCGAACGGGCGAGUAACACGUGGGUGAGCUGCCCUGCACUUCGGGAUAAGCCUGGGAAACUGGGUCUAAUACUGGCUAGUGUGGGAUGGGCCCGCUGCAUAUCAGCUUGUUGGUGGGGUAAUGGCCUACCAAGGCGGCGACGGGUAGCCGGCCUGGGAGGGUGGACGGCCCCAUUGGGACUGAGACACGGCCCAGGCUCAUACGGGAGGCAGCAGUGGGGAAUAUUGCACGAUGGGCGGAAGCGUGGUGAAGCGACGCCGCGUGGGGGAUGACUGCCUUCGGGUAGUAAGCUCCUGUCACCAUCGACGCGGUAGAUGGAGAAGAAGCACCGGCUAACUACGUGCCAGCAGCCGCGGUAAAC
rnacentral:rRNA from 1 species